rnacentral:rRNA from 1 species
AAAUUGAAGAGUUUGAUCAUGGCUCAGAUUGAAUGCUGGCGGCAGGCCUAACACAUGCAAGUCGAACGGUAACAGGAAACAGCUUGCUGUUUCGCUGACGAGUGGCGGACGGGUGAGUAAUGUCUGGGAAACUGCCUGAUGGAGGGGGAUAACUACUGGAAACGGUAGCUAAUACCGCAUAACGUCGCAAGACCAAAGAGGGGGACCUUCGGGCCUCUUGCCAUCG